rnacentral:lncRNA from 1 species
AAUGAGGAAAAUGGGGAGCAGGAGGCCGACAAUGAAGUAGAUGAAGAAGAGGAAGAAGGGGGGGAGGAAGAGGAGGAGGAGGAGGAAGGCGACGGUGAGGAAGAGGAUGGAGAUGAAGAUGAGGAGGCCGAGGCAGCUACGGGCAAACGGGCAGCUGAAGAUGAUGAGGUGGGUUCUGGCUUGGGUAGGGGUUGGGAUCCGAGGCACGAUAGCCAGAGGGGCUGAUUUUGGUGGUGUGGCCCUGAAAGGCUUCCUUAUCUUGGGCAGGAACAGGAAGGAAUCUAGGCCUGCCUUCCCAGAGCUCUGGAAGCCUCUGGAGCAGCCAGUGCCUGGCCCUUGCCUCUGCCCGCAGAUGUGGGGAUGGGCCCCGUGGACUGCAGGGGCCCUGACCAUCUUUCUCUGUGCAGGAUGACGACGUCGACACCAAGAAGCAGAAGACUGAUGAGGAUGACUAGACAGCAAAAAAGGAAAAGUUAAACUUAACAACAAAAGGUCACCAUGACCUGUUCACCCUCCACUUUCUGUCUCAGAAUCUAAAUGUGGUCACCUUCCAGUAGAGUCCCGUCCUGCCGNAGAGUCCCGCCCGCCUGCCCAACGCGGGCAGCGCCACCCGCAGAUGACACACGCUCUCCGCCACCCAACCAAAACCACAACGUGAAUUUGCAACAGGGGAGGAAAAAAGAACCAAAACUUCCAAGGCCCUGCUUUUUUUCUUAAAAGUACUUUAAAAAGGAAAAUUUGUUUGUAUUUUUUAUUUACAUUUUAUAUUUUUGUACAUAUUGUUAGGGGUCAGCCAUUUUUAAUGAUCUCGGAUGACCAAACCAGCCUUCGGAGCGUUCUCUGUCCUACUUCUGACUUUACUUGUGGUGUGACCAUGUUCAUUAUAAUCUCAAAGGAGAAAAAAAACCUUGUAAAAAAAGCAAAAACAACAACAAAAAAACAAUCUUAUUCCGAGCAUUCCAGUAACUUUUUUUGUGUAUGUACUUAGCUGUACUAUAAGUAGUUGGUUUGUAUGAGAUGGUUAAAAAGGCCAAAGAUAAAAGGUUUCUUUUUUUCCUUUUUUGUCUAUGAAGUUGCUGUUUAUUUUUUUUGGCCUGUUUGAUGUAUGUGUGAAACAAUGUUGUCCAACAAUAAACCGGAAUUUUAUUUUGCUGAGUUGUUCUAA